AUUGAACGCUGGCGGCAGGCUUAACACAUGCAAGUCGAGCGAGCGGCGGACGGGUGAGUAAUGUCUGGGAAACUGCCUGAUGGAGGGGGAUAACUACUGGCAACGGUAGCUAAUACCGCAUACCUUCAGAUGUGCCCAGAUGGGAUUAGCUAGUAGGUGGGGUAAGGGCUCACCUAGGCGACGAUCCCUAGCUGGUCUAGGAGGAUGACCAGCAACACUGGAACUGCAAAACGGUCAAGACUCGUCGGGAGGGAAGAAUAGGGGAAUAUUGCACAAGGGGCGCAAGCCUGAUGCAGCCAUGCCGCGUGUGUGAAGAGGGCCUUCGAGUUGUAAGCCACUUUCGGCGAGGAGGCGUUACUCAAAGAAGAAGCACCGGCUAACUCCGUGCCAGCAGCCGCGGUAAUAC
rnacentral:rRNA from 1 species